GGAUGUGGAAUAUGCAAGAUCAUAGCAUGGGCUCAGAAGCACUUGGAGAACUAAAGAGCACCUUAGCCAGCAUCACCCUCCAGUUUUUUUUUGUUUUGUUUUGUUUUGCUUUGUUUUUUUGCAGUACGCGGGCCUCUCACUGUUGUGGCCUUUCCCGCUGCGGAGCACAGGCUCCGGAUGCGCAGGCUCAGCGGCCACGGCUCACGGGCCCAGCCACUCCGCGGCAUGUGGGAUCUUCCCGGACCGGGGCACGAACCCGCGUCCCCUGCAUCGGCAGGCAGACUCCCAACCACCGCGCCACCAGGGAAGCCCCCC